CACCUGUAGAUUAUAAAUCAGAUGUUAGGAGAACAGAGCCGAAAGAUACCCACCUGUAGAUUAUAAAUCAGAUGUUAGGAGAACAGAGCCAGCCCACCUGUAGAUUAUAAAUCAGAUGUUAGGAGAAUAGAGCCUGUAGAUUAUAAAUCAGAUGUUAGGAGAAGAGAGACUAGAUUAUAAAUCAGAUGUUAGGAAAAUAGAGACUGUAGAUUAUAAAUCAGAUGUUAGGAGAAGAGAGACUGUAGAUUAUAAAUCAGAUAUUAGGAGAAUAGAGCCUGUAGAUUAUAAAUCAGAUAUUAGUAGAAUAGAGACUGUAGAUUAUAAAUCAGAUGUUAGGAGAAUAGAGACUGUAGAUUAUAAAUCAGAUGUUAGGAGAAUAGAGCUUGUAGAUUAUAAAUCAGAUGUUAGGAGACUAGAGACUAGAUUAUAAAUCAGAUGUUAGGAGAAUAGAGCCUGUAGAUUAUAAAUCAGAUGUUAGGAGAAUAGUGACUUGUACUUCACAGCUGGACCUCUGAGGUGCUGUUCAGACGAGGACAUUGUAGACCAGGGCUGGGGGGGUCAAUUCUAUUUCAAAUCAGGAGGUAAAGCCAAAAUUCCAAUUCCAAUGUUCCACAUUGAAAAGUAGAAAACAGGAGAAUUGGAAUUUCAGUUGUACUUCCUGAAUUGACUGAUUUGAAAUGAAUUUGAGCCCAACCCCACUAUAGACACAGAGCAUGAAGAGAAACCAGGAGUUACUGUACCAGGACAGAAACAUGUCCAUGUCCUCUGCACUGUUACAUUAGUGCAGCACUGUCUGAACAGGAUUUUCUGUACCAGGACAGAAACAUGUCCUCUGCACUGUUACAUUAGUGCAGCACUGUCUGAACAGGAUUUACUGUACCAGGACAGAAACAUGUCCUCUGCACUGUUACAUUAGUGCAGCACUGUCUGAACAGGAUUUACUGUACCAGGACAGAAACAUGUCCUCUGCACUGUUACAUUAGUGCAGCACUGUCUGAACAGGAGUUACUGUACCAGGACAGAAACAUGUCCUCUGCACUGUUACAUUAGUGCAGCACUGUCUGAACAGGAGUUACUGUACCAGGACAGAAACAUGUCCUCUGCACUGUUACAUUAGUGCAGCACUGUCUGAACAGGAUUUACUGUACCAGGACAGAAACAUGUCCUCUGCACUGUUACAUUAGUGCAGCACUGUCUGAACAGGAUUGAAAUGUAUAGCUUUGUCUCUAGCCUGAGUGCCAGUCUGUUUGUACUAUCAUGCCAACUCCCUGUCACUCAUUGUCACAAUGAGCAAUGGACUGGUAAGAACACAAACAGAUCUGGGAUCAGGCUGUAGAAGGAGACAACAGAUCUACCACUAUAUAGGGAAUAGGGCUCUGGUCUAUAGUAGUACCACUAUAUAGGGAAUAGGGCUCUGGUCUAAAGUAGUGCACUAUAUAGGGAAUAGGGCUCUGGUCUAUAGUAGUACCACUAUAUAGGGAAUAGGGCUCUGGUCUAUAGUAGUGCCACUAUAUAGGGAAUAGGGCUCUGGUCUAUAGUAGUACCACUAUAUAGGGAAUAGGGCUCUGGUCUAUAGUAGUACCACUAUAUAGGGAAUAUGGCUCUGGUCUAUAGUAGUACCACUAUAUAGGGAAUAGGGCUCUGGUCUAUAGUAGUACCACUAUAUAGGGAAUAGGGCUCUGGUCUAUAGUAGUACCACUAUAUAGGGAAUAGGGCUCUGGUCUAUAGUAGUACCACUAUAUAGGGAAUAGGGCUCUGGUCUAAAGUAGUGCACUAUAUAGGGAAUAGGGCUCUGGUCUAUAGUAGUACCACUAUAUAGGGAAUAGGGCUCUGGUCUAUAGUAGUACCACUAUAUAGGGAAUAGGGCUCUGGUCUAUAGUAGUACCACUAUAUAGGGAAUAGGGCUCUGGUCUAUAGUAGUACCACUAUAUAGGGAAUAUGACUCUGGUCUAUAGUAGUACCACUAUAUAGGGAAUAGGGCUCUGGUCUAUAGUAGUACCACUAUAUAGGGAAUAGGACUCUGGUCUAUAGUAGUACCACUAUAUAGGGAAUAGGGCUCUGGUCUAUAGUAGUACCACUAUAUAGCGAGAAGUGUGUGAAUUGUGCAUCCCAGAAGCCUCAACAGAGCAAUGCUCUUUAACGUGUGUGUGUGUGUGUGUUGCGUUAUCUUGGUGAGUGUGCGUUAUCUUGGUGAGUGUGCGUUAUCUUGGUGAGUGUGCGUUAUCUUGGUGAGUGUGCGUUAUCUUGGUGAGUGUGCGUUAUCUUGGUGAGUGUGCGUUAUCUUGGUGAGUGUGCGUUAUCUUGGUGAGUGUGCGUUAUCUUGGUGAGUGUGCGUUAUCUUGGUGAGAGUGCGUUAUCUUGGUGAGUGUGCGUUAUCUUGGUGAGAGUGCGUUAUCUUGGUGAGAGUGCGUUAUCUUGGUGAGAGUGCGUUAUCUUGGUGAGUGUGCGUUAUCUUGGUGAGUGUGCGUUAUCUUGGUGAGUGUGCGUUAUCUUGGUGAGUGUGCGUUAUCUUGGUGAGAGUGCGUUAUCUUGGUGAGUUGUCGUUAUCUUGGUGAGUGUGUGUUAUCUUGGUGAGUGUGCGUUAUCUUGGUGAGUGUGCGUUAUCUUGGUGAGUGUGCGUUAUCUUGGUGAGUGUGUCAUUAUCUAGUAAUAUAUUCAUUCCAACACUGGUUAUUGAUUGUUGUGUUUUCUCUGAUGUGGAUUAGUAUUAAUAUUAUCUCUAGUAUUAAUAUUAUCUCUAGUAUUAGUAUUAAUUACUGUGUUGUGUGUUAGACUUACAGCCUGAAGUAUCUGUACGUGUCCCUGAUAUUAACAUGGAUUCUGGGAAGUGAUGGCCACCAGUGUGUCAGUGUUCUUCAGAGAGGAGUCAUAAAGUAUCAUGUGACAUAUUCCUAUUGUAGUAAAUCUAGGUUUUUCUACUAGUGUUUAACAUCGCUCCGUUGUUGAUGUGUUGCUGAAUGUGAUUAUUACAGAUUCAAACUAUCUUUUAUUUCAAUGCGAUUGACAUUUUCUAGACAAAGGGGUGAUUUGAGAUCACUUCCCUCUUUUUAUCGUUUGUUUACAGAUGAACUACUAGCAUAUAGUAUACAGUCAUUCAGUAUGUAGUAUUCAGUAUGUUAGUAUCUGAACACAGCCAAGGACUUGUUUAACUACUACAGAUGAACUACUAGCAUAUAGUAUACAGUCAUUCAGUAUAUAGUAUUCAAUAUGUUAGUAUCUGAACACAGCCAAGGACUUGUUUAACUACUACAGAUGAACUACUAGCAUAUAGUAUACAGUCAUUCAGUAUAUAGUAUUCAGUAUGUUAGUAUCUGAACACAGCCAAGGACUUGUUUAACUACUACAGAUGAACUACUAGCAUAUAGUAUACAGUCAUUCAGUAUAUAGUAUUCAGUAUGUUAGUAUCUGAACACAGCCAAGGACUUGUUUAACUACUACAGAUGAACUACUAGCAUAUAGUAUACAGUCAUUCAGUAUAUAGUAUUCAAUAUGUUAGUAUCUGAACACAGCCAAGGACUUGUUUAACUACUACAGAUGAACUACUAGCAUAUAGUAUACAGUCAUUCAGUAUAUAGUAUUCAAUAUGUUAGUAUCUGAACACAGCCAAGGACUUGUUUAACUACUACAGAUGAACUGCUAGCAUAUAGUAUACAGUCAUUCAGUAUAUAGUAUUCAAUAUGUUAGUAUCUGAACACAGCCAAGGACUUGUUUAACUACUACAGAUGAACUACUAGCAUAUAGUAUACAGUCAUUCAGUAUAUAGUAUUCAAUAUGUUAGUAUCUGAACACAGCCAAGGACUUGUUUAACUACUACAGAUGAACUACUAGCAUAUAGUAUACAGUCAUUCAGUAUAUAGUAUUCAAUAUGUUAGUAUCUGAACACAGCCAAGGACUUGUUUAACUACUACAGAUGAACUACUAGCAUAUAGUAUACAGUCAUUCAGUAUGUAGUAUUCAGUAUGUUAGUAUCUGAACACAGCCAAGGACUUGUUUAACUACUACAGAUGAUACCGUACAGUAAAACACAAGCAUGUCUUUGUUUAGAAAAGGUCAGGAAGUAAGAAUCAAUGAAUGACUUCCUCAAUAGUUAAUUGCUGCAUCACAUAGUAGUUUCUGAUAGGACUGUUCGCUGUGUUUUUUGUUGUUUUUCUUGAGUUUUCAGAGGUGUGUAGUUGAUUUUGAAAUUGUCAAAGUUUUUUGUACGAUUGUUAAUCGACCAGUUACGUCUAACAGGACAGGUCUCUUCAGCAAUAUGAACGAUUUUCAUUUGUGACGGUUCUGCCCUUUCUCAGUUUUACUAUUGAUGGAUUGAAAGGUAUGUAACUGCCCCCAACAAAACGAACAUCCAUUUUAGUUUUUAUCGCUGGCCUAACUUUGUGUGUUGUGCAGUUGUAUUGUUUAACCAUUAAAACACAGAUGGCCUCAUCCUCUCGUCCUGUUUUAUACUGAUGCUGAAAUGUGUAUUUUAUUCUACUGACACGUUUACUUUAUGGUCCUAUUUUCUUCUCUUGUAUUAUUUCUUCUU
rnacentral:lncRNA from 1 species